rnacentral:rRNA from 1 species
GAUGAACGCUAGCGGGAGGCCUAACACAUGCAAGCCGAGCGGUAUUUCUUCUUCGGGAGAGAGAGAGCGGCGUACGGGUGCGGAACACGUGUGCAACCUGCCUUUAUCUAGAGGAUAGCCUUUCGACAGGAAGAUUAAUACUCUAUAAUAUAUUAAUUGGCAUCAAUUGAUAUUGAAAACUCCGGUGGAUAGAGAUGGGCACGCGCAAGAUUAGCUAGUUGGUGAGGUAACGGCUCACCAAGGCAAUGAUCUUUAGGGGGCCUGAGAGGGUGAUCCCCCCCGCUGGUACUGGGACAAGGUUCGGAUUCCUACGGAAGGCAGCAGUGAGGAAUAUUGGUCAAUGGGUGCAGUCGUGAACCAGCAAUCCCGCGUGAAGGAUUAAGGUCCUAUGGAUGGUAAGCUUCUUUUGUAUAGGGAGAGACCUACCCGCGUGAGAGUAGCGUGAGUAACUAUCCGAAUCAGCACCGGCUAUCACCGUGCCAGCAGCCGCGGUAAAAC